UACGUAGGGUGCAAGCGUUGUCCGGAAUUAUUGGGCGUAAAGAGCUCGUAGGCGGUCUGUCGCGUCGGCUGUGAAAACCCGGGGCUCAACCCCGGGCCUGCAGUCGAUACGGGCAGACUAGAGUGUGGUAGGAGAGACUGGAAUUCCUGGUGUAGCGGUGAAAUGCGCAGAUAUCAGGAGGAACACCGGUGGCGAAGGCGGGUCUCUGGGCCACUACUGACGCUGAGAAGCGAAAGCAUGGGGAGCGAACAGG
rnacentral:rRNA from 1 species